rfam:Pongo abelii chromosome 1.
GUCACCUGGGGAAUAUUGUUAAAAUGCAGAUUCUGAUUCAGCAAGUCUAGGUUGGGGACUGAGAUUCUGCAUUUCUAACAAGCAGCUAGGUGAUGCCUA